AAUCAACGCUGGCGGCGUGCCUAACACAUGCAAGUCGAACGCGAAAAUUCCUUCGGGGAUGAGUAGAGUGGCGUCCGGGUGAGUAACGCGUGGGUAAUCUGCCUUUGGGUGGGGAAUAACCCAGGGAAACUUGGGCUAAUACCGCAUAAUGCAGCGGCUCGACAUCGAGACAGUUGUUAAAGCAGCAAUGCGCCUGAAGAGGAGCCUGCGUCUGAUUAGCUAGNGGUAAGGUAAUGGCUUACCAAGGCGACGAUCCGUAACCGGCCUGAGAGGGCGGGUCGGUCACACUGACACUGACAUACGGGUCAGACUCCUACGGGAGGCAGCAGUCGGGAAUUUUGGGCAAUGGGCGAAAGCCUGACCCAGCAACGCCGCGUGAAGGAUGAAAUCCCUCGGGAUGUAAACUUCGCAAGAACGGGAAGAAUAAGCGAGAGUUAAUAUCUUUCGUGAUGACGGUACCG
rnacentral:rRNA from 1 species